rnacentral:rRNA from 1 species
AUUGAACGCUGGCGGCGUGCUUUACACAUGCAAGUCGAGCGGCAGCACGACCUUCGGUUGGUGGCGAGCGGCGAACGGGUGAGUAAUACAUCGGAACGUACCUUUUAGUUGGGGAUAACGCAUCGAAAGAUGUGCUAAUACCGAAUAAUCUCUGAGGAGGAAAGGCGGGGAUCGGAAACGACCUGUCGCUGAAAGAGCGGCCGAUGGCCGAUUAGCUAGUUGGCGGGGGUAAAUGCCCACCAAGGCGAUGAUCGGUAGCUGUUCUGAGAGGAAGAUCAGCCACACUGGGACUGAGACACGGCCCAGACUCCUACGGGAGGCAGCAGUGGGGAAUUUUUGGACAAUGGGGGGAACCCGUGAUCCAGCAACGCCGCGUGAAUGAAGAAGGCCUUAGGGUUGUAAAGUUCUUUUGUCUAGGGAAGAAAAGGACUUGUGCUAAUAUCACAAGCUGCUGACGGUACCUGAAGAAUAAGCACCGGCUAACUACGUGCCAGCAGCCGCGGUAAAG